rnacentral:rRNA from 1 species
GACGUAGGAGGCGAGCGUUGUCCGGAUUCAUUGGGCGUAAAGAGCACGCAGGCGGUUUGGCAAGUCGGAUGUGAAAACCCGGAGCUCAACUCCGGACCUGCAUCCGAAACUGCCCGACUAGAGGUAGGUAGGGGAGAUCGGAAUUCCUGGUGUAGCGGUGAAAUGCGCAGAUAUCAGGAGGAACACCGGUGGCGAAGGCGGAUCUCUGGGCCAUUACUGACGCUGAGGAGCGAAAGCGUGGGGAGCGAACAGG